AAUAAUAACACAUAUGACACUUAAAUGUAAUGCUGUGCGACAGUUUAUCUCCCGGCGGUAAGGUGCCCUGUGAAGGGGCUUUAGUUCAAGAUGGUGGUGGACGCGUACCUGUUGUGGUUCUUCUCCCUCUUAAACGCGAUAGCUACAUGUGGUGCGGAUUUCUCAUCCGAAGCCUGCCGGAAGCUUGGCUUCUCCAGUAACUUGCUCUGCAGUUCUUGUGACCUUCUGGGUCAGUUUGGGCUCAACCAACUAAAUGUAGACUGCAGACAAUGCUGUCAAGAGGAGGCCCAGCUAGAACAGAAAAAGUUGUAUGCUGGAGCUGUCCUUGAAGUAUGUGGAUGAAAAUUGGGAAGGUUCCCCCAAGUCCAGGCUUUUGUCAGAAGUGAUAAGCCCAAGAUGUUCAAGGGACUACAGAUCAAGUAUGUCCGUGGCUCUGACCCUGUGCUGAAGCUGCUGGAUGACAAGGGGGACAUUGAAGAAGAGUUGAGCAUUCUCAAAUGGAACACCGAUAGUGUGGAAGAAUUCCUGAGUGAAAAGUUAGAACGUAUAUAAAUUGCCGCCUGUUGCAGGUCUGGUUUCCAUUUUGUAUAUCAAUUUGUACCCAUUAAUGCCCCUGUUUCCGUUCAGGUUUCCCAAGUGGGACAGGGGAAGGAACUCCCACGACAUACUGGUUAGAGUGAUUACUCAAAAUGAUCAUAUUCAAUUUUACAAUGCUAAAAUUAGGUUUAUUACCGUGAUUCUCAAUGGCAUUUUACGAAGGAUAUUUAGUUUCGCCCCAGCACAUGACCAGUUAAUAAAUGAGUAUGGCUUCUUUUGAAAUUUGAAAUGCACUGUAUAAUAUUGUUUAUUUGGGUCCAUUACAACAUUCCGUUGGCUUGAAGUGGCUUUUAUUAGUUGUACGGUUUCCUACUGUUUACUGCAGUGAACAAGAUUCAUUAAGUAGUUGCACUUUUGUGAAGGCCGCACAUGAAACCAUUUUGAGGAUAUGUGCAGCUCGAUGUUUUGUGCACUGACUGGUGUUUCUGCUCUGCUGAAGUAGAAGUAGCCCAGAGAGUUGGUAUUGUUUGAAUUUAGAAUGUUGGAAUAAUAAAAGUUAUUAUUAACAUAAA